AAAUAGGUUUGUGUAUGGUUGAUGUAUAAUAAAUGACAAGUACUUGAAUGAAUAAGUAACACAACUUAUAUCCAAGCAUUUGAGGAGAGGAAUCGAAGACUCAAGACCAUCUCCCUUUUCAUAUAGUUUUGAUUAAUUUAUUAAUUUGCGGAAAAAAUGACAAUUGUUCGACUGACCGAGUAAAAGAACUCGUAUUCAAACAAUUGGAGAGAGAAGUUGAAGACUC
rnacentral:lncRNA from 1 species